CACUGCUAUCGGGGUUCGAUUAAGCCAUGCGAGUCGAGAGGGUUCAGACCCUCGGCGCACUGCUCAGUAACACGUGGAUAACCUACCCUGAGGAGGGGGAUAACCCCGGGAAACUGGGGAUAAUACCUCAUAGGUUUCAGAUGCUGGAAUGCUCUGAAACCGAAAUGCUCCGGCGCCUCAGGAUGGAUCUGCGGCCGAUUAGGUUGUUGUUGGGGUAACGGCCCAACAAGCCCGUCAUCGGUACGGGUUGUGAGAGCAAGAGCCCGGAGAUGGAUUCUGAGACACCAAUCCAGGCCCUACGGGGCGCAGCAGGCGCGAAACCUUUACAAUGCGAGCAAUCGUGAUAAGGGAACCCCGAGUGCCUGAAACCAGGCUGUUCAGGUGUUUAAAAAGCACCUGGAGAAAGGGCCGGGCAAGACCGGUGCCAGCCGCCGCGGUAAUACCGGCGGCUCGAGUGGUGGCCGCUAUUAUUGGGCUUAAAGCGUUCGUAGCUGGGUUGUUAAGUCUCUUGGGAAAUCUCACGGCUCAACCGUGAGGCGACUAAGAGAUACUGGCAAUCUUGGGACCGGGAGAGGUGAGAGGUACU
rnacentral:rRNA from 1 species